AAAAAAGGAGUGGGACAGACAGGGCUGAGCGCGCCGAGGAAGGAGGCGCCAAAAAAUGGGCAAUUAAGAACAUUCAAUUACUGGAAGAAACAUUGACUAUUUCAGGGAGAGCUGCUGGGAUCCUCCAUAGGAAAUUAGCUGGAGCAGCGUCUGUCCGUCGGCUGCACUGAGGGCCGAUUCCUUGUCUUCC